CGAAAACCGUAUAAAACUUACCUGUAUUGAAGUAAAAGACAUAAUCAUGUUGGGAAUGCACGCAUCAAAUAGGUUUUUCAGUGCAGCAUCUAGGAUGCCAAGCAGGGCCUGCUCACUCUCAGCUUACCUGAGUUCCGUGUUACGCGUGCCCGCGCCUCCAGGAGCGCUGGCAUCGACAAUUUUGGAGAUAUGACGACAGCGCGUAUCGAUGUCAAGUGAUGCUCACCGUCAGUCAGCUAUGUCAAUAUUGCCAGUCAGUUCAUAGAUAAUAUAAACAAAACAUAAAGUUGUUUUGAUACACGUGUUUCAUUUUGACUUAUUUCUUACAUUAUUUUGUUAGUUAAUAAGUGUAAUGCUGUACCAUCUGACUUUGUCAUAAAAUUAUUUUGAGAA